UUUUUUUUAUCUGCUAGGGAUAUGGUGGACCCUUAACAGGAGAUGCUACUUAGACAGACCAAACUGUGGGGAAAGCUGAUGAUCCACAGGGAGACAGACAAAUGGUAAGAAACAACUUGCUGGGGAAACAAUCCUGCUGGAGAGUCAAACACACUGGGGAGUAUUCAAAGUGAGAUUUGAUAAACGACACUUAGAAUACA
rnacentral:lncRNA from 1 species